UACGUAAGGUCCGAGCGUUGUCCGGAAUCAUUGGGCGUAAAGGGUACGCAGGCGGAUAAGCAAGUUAGAAGUAAAAUCCUAUAGCUCAACUAUCGUAAGCUUUGCAAACUGCUCAUCUUGAGUUAUGGAGAGGAAAGUGGAAUUCCUAGUGUAGCGGUGAAAUGCGCAGAUAUUAGGAGGAAUACCGGUGGCGAAGGCGACUUGCUGGCCAUAAACUGACGCUGAGGUACGAAAGCGUGGGGAGCGAACAGG
rnacentral:rRNA from 1 species